rnacentral:rRNA from 1 species
UGCAGUCGAGCGAAUGGAUUGAGAGCUUGCUCUCAAGAAGUUAGCGGCGGACGGGUGAGUAACACGUGGGUAACCUGCCCAUAAGACUGGGAUAACUCCGGGAAACCGGGGCUAAUACCGGAUAACAUUUUGAACUGCAUGGUUCGAAAUUGAAAGGCGGCUUCGGCUGUCACUUAUGGAUGGACCCGCGUCGCAUUAGCUAGUUGGUGAGGUAACGGCUCACCAAGGCAACGAUGCGUAGCCGACCUGAGAGGGUGAUCGGCCACACUGGGACUGAAACACGGCCCAGACUCCUACGGGAGGCAGCAGUAGGGAAUCUUCCGCAAUGGACGAAAGUCUGACGGAGCAACGCCGCGUGAGUGAUGAAGGCUUUCGGGUCGUAAAACUCUGUUGUUAGGGAAGAACAAGUGCUAGUUGAAUAAGCUGGCACCUUGACGGUACCUAACCAGAAAGCCACGGCUAACUACGUGCCAGCAGCCGCGGUAAUACGUAGGUGGCAAGCGUUAUCCGGAAUUAUUGGGCGUAAAGCGCGCGCAGGUGGUUUCUUAAGUCUGAUGUGAAAGCCCACGGCUCAACCGUGGAGGGUCAUUGGAAACUGGGAGACUUGAGUGCAGAAGAGGAAAGUGGAAUUCCAUGUGUAGCGGUGAAAUGCGUAGAGAUAUGGAGGAACACCAGUGGCGAAGGCGACUUUCUGAUCUGUAACUGACA